UACGAAGGGGGCUAGCGUUGCUCGGAAUCACUGGGCGUAAAGCGCACGUAGGCGGCUUUCUAAGUCAGGGGUGAAAUCCUGGAGCUCAACUCCAGAACUGCCUUUGAUGCUGGAGAGCUUGAGUCCGGGAGAGGUGAGUGGAACUCCGAGUGUAGAGGUGAAAUUCGUAGAUAUUCGGAAGAACACCAGUGGCGAAGGCGGCUCACUGGCCCGGUACUGACGCUGAGGUGCGAAAGCGUGGGGAGCAAACAGG
rnacentral:rRNA from 1 species